rnacentral:rRNA from 1 species
GACGAACGCUGGCGGCGUGCUUAACACAUGCAAGUCGAACGGUGAAGCGCCUUCCUUUUUGGUGGGUGUGGAUGAGUGGCGAACGGGUGAGUAACACGUGGGUAACCUGCCCCCUUCUUCUGGAUAACCGCAUGAAAGUGUGGCUAAUACGGGAUAUUCUGGGUCUGCCGCAUGAUGGGUCUGGGAAAGAUAUUGUUUCGGUGGGGGAUGGGCUCGCGGCCUAUCAGCUUGUUGGUGGGGUGAUGGCCUACCAAGGCGGUGACGGGUAGCCGGCCUGAGAGGGUGGACGGUCACACUGGGACUGAGACACGGCCCAGACUCCUACGGGAGGCAGCAGUGGGGAAUAUUGCACAAUGGGCGCAAGCCUGAUGCAGCGACGCCGCGUGAGGGAUGGAGGCCUUCGGGUUGUGAACCUCUUUCGCCAGUGAAGCAGGCCUGCCUCGUUUGUGGGUGGGUUGACGGUAGCUGGAUAAGAAGCGCCGGCUAACUACGUG